UACGUAGGGUGCAAGCGUUAAUCGGAAUUACUGGGCAUAAAGCGUGCGCAGGCGGUUAUGCAAGACAGAUGUGAAAUCCCCGGGCUUAACCUGGGAACUGCAUUUGUGACUGCAUCGCUGGAGUGCGGCAGAGGGGGAUGGAAUUCCGCGUGUAGCAGUGAAAUGCGUAGAUAUGCGGAGGAACACCGAUGGCGAAGGCAAGCCCCUGGGCCUGCACUGACGCUCAUGCACGAAAGCGUGGGGAGCAAACAGG
rnacentral:rRNA from 1 species